GGGGGGGGGGGGGGGGGGGGCGGGGGGGGGGGGGGCGGGGGGGGGGGGGGGAGGGGGGUGCGGGUACGGGGGGCGGGUGGCGGGCGGGUGAGGGGGCCGUCGGCAUCUACUGUUUGGCGGGGGGUAACGUAGGGGCGCUUACGCUACGACCGCGUCCGCCCGACGGGUGGAAGCUGGGGGUUUGCGGACCUUGCGCGAUUGAUUGGGCCGACGUCGGAUCAGCUAGUUGGCGGGGUAAAGGCCCACCAAGGAGACGAUCCGUAGCUGGUCUGAGAGGAUGAUCAGCCACAAUGGAACUGAGACACGGUCCAGACUCCUACGGGAGGCAGCAGUGGGGAAUAUUGGACAAUGGGCACAAGCCUGAUCCAGCCAUACCGCGUGGGUGAAGAAGACCUUCGGGUUGUAAAGCCCUUUUGUUGGGAAAGAAAAGCAGCAGGUUAAUACCCCGCUGUUCUGACGGUACCCAAAGAAUAAGCACCGGCUAACUUCGUG
rnacentral:rRNA from 1 species